rnacentral:misc_RNA from 1 species
GAAUGGUAUUUGACCCAUAUUCAUUAGUGGAUAACAACUAAUAAUACAACUGAAAAAAAAAAAGGAAGCAUAAUAAUCUUUUUAAUUCCAGUGAAAGCAAUUCUGCAGUUUUUCCUGAGCCCUCACAGAUCCAUCAUUAUUAAUUUAUUAUCUUCACUCAAUGCACAGACAGACAAACAGACAGACAUCUCUCUUUCUACGAGAGUUCAAAAUUACACAAGAGAAGGAUAGAAUGGAGGAAGAAACCUUGUCAAACUAGAAUAUGAAUGAGACCUUUUAAGGAGAUAAGGUUAGACAAAUGCACUUUUGUGGCUGAUAAUUGACAUAUUUGGACCAACCAUCAAAAAACCCAAAAAUCUGUGAUUAUCCCAGAUCGAUGCUUAAUCACUGAAUGGAUACUGCUCAUACCUAAUUGUGCAAUCUUGAAGCACAGAACGAGCCCCAAUCCGGCUUUGACAAGCGGAAAACAUGGUUGUUUUAGCUGCAUCUAGACAAGUUGCGCAGUCUGAAGAAGUGAGAUUUUGGUUGCAAGCAGCAUGACCAUAGGCAAAAGCAUUUGGAUAAGGAGAGAUAUUGUAGUAGUCAUAAUUCUUGCUUGUUGGCGUCACAGUCUGUAGUUCUUCAACAACAUAGCUUAGGCUUAUGCCAAAAGGAUCACCCUUUGAGUACACUACAGUGUUGCAGAGAACAGUCUGAACCACUGUAUUGGGAACGCUUUUAACAGUAACAGAGCACAACAAGAAACCAAAGAAUGCUAAUAUGAUCGUUGUUGCCAAUUUUGAAGGAAGACCCAUCUCUCUGUUCCUCUUGCUCUCUUUGGUUUUGCUUUGAUUUUUCAUCAGAAAUUCAGGUUUCUUUGACUUUUAAUGGUGGGUUCUCCUUGGUUUAUCCAUCAACCCCAUUAAAAAUGUAGUAUUAUUGCCUUUUGUC